CCAAUAGCGUAUAUUAAAGUUGUUGUGGUUAAAAAGCUCGUAGUUGAACCUUGGGCCUGGCUGGCCGGUCCGCCUCACCGCGUGUACUGGUCCGGCCGGGCCUUUCCCUCUGUGGAACCUCAUGCCCUUCACUGGGUGUGACGGGGAAGCAGGACUUUUACUGUGAAAAAAUUAGAGUGCUCCAAGCAGGCCUAUGCUCGAAUACAUUAGCAUGGAAUAAUGAAAUAGGACGUGCGGUUCUAUUUUGUUGGUUUCUAGGACCGCCGUAAUGAUUAAUAGGGACAGUCGGGGGCAUCAGUAUUCAAUUGUCAGAGGUGAAAUUCUUGGAUUUAUUGAAGACUAACUACUGCGAAAGCAUUUGCCAAGGAUGUUUUCAUUAAUCAGGAACGAAAGUUAGGGGAUCGAAGACGAUCAGAUACCGUCGUAGUCUUAACCAUAAACUAUGCCGACUAGGGAUCGGACGAUGUUGUUUCAAUGACUCGCUCAGCACCUUAUG
rnacentral:misc_RNA from 1 species